UACGGUCAAAUCACGCGUUGAAAACACCGGUUCUCGUUCGAUCACCGAAGUUAAGCAUCGUAGAGCCAGGUCAGUACUUAGAUGGGGGACCGCUUGGGAACACCUGGUACUGUAAG